AGAUGUGAGGAUCAUCUUGCUGAAACAUUUGUCACCUCACUGAUGGCUAGUAUUCAUUCAGUCGAUCAGGCUGGCCAGGCAGGGACCCCCUUCUCCCCUCACCAGGCCAUGUGUCUCCUGCCCAAAGCUGGACCCCUUGUCCAAGAAAACAAACUUUGCUGAUAGAGGAGGACCUUCUUUGGUCAAGGGUAUAUGAGUAGCUGCGCUCUCCUGUUUGAACCUUGAAACAAGCUCUCAAGAUCCAUUUGUAGAAGGUGGGGUAGUCAAGCUUCCCAGACACAUCCAAAUAAAGCACCACGUGUGGCAUUCUGCUUUUCUUU
ensembl:misc_RNA 7SK 7SK RNA